rnacentral:rRNA from 1 species
UGGGGAAUUUUGGACAAUGGGCGCAAGCCUGAUCCAGCCAUGCCGCGUGCGGGAAGAAGGCCUUCGGGUUGUAAACCGCUUUUGUCAGGGAAGAAAUCUUCUGAGUUAAUACCUCGGGAGGAUGACGGUACCUGAAGAAUAAGCACCGGCUAACUACGUGCCAGCAGCCGCGGUAAUACGUAGGGUGCAAGCGUUAAUCGGAAUUACUGGGCGUAAAGCGUGCGCAGGCGGUUUUGUAAGACAGAGGUGAAAUCCCCGGGCUCAACCUGGGAACUGCCUUUGUGACUGCAAGGCUUGAGUGCGGCAGAGGGGGAUGGAAUUCCGCGUGUAGCAGUGAAAUGCGUAGAUAUGCGGAGGAACACCGAUGGCGAAGGCAAUCCCCUGGGCCUGCACUGACGCUCAUGCACGAAAGCGUGGGGAGCAAAACCAGGAUUAGAUAGCCCCUGGGUAGUCCACGCCCUAAAACGAUGUCAACUGGUUGUUGGGAAGGUUCCUUCUCAGUAACGUAGCUAACGCGUGAAGUUGACCGCCUGGGGAGUACGGCCGCAAGGUUGAAAC